rnacentral:lncRNA from 1 species
AUGGCCCUGGUUUUCCUUCAAGCUCCUCCCUCUUCAGAAGAGCUAACAAGUUGGAGGAGCUGCUGUGAGCAGUCACCCAGCAGGAAAUCUCUUCAACAAGAGUCUGCAAAGGUGGACAGCAGGGCAUGUCUUGUGGCAGAGAACAGGACUGCCCUAGAAGCAGCUUGGAGGACCGCUUUUCCCACCUCAACCCGAAACAGUUUAUUCAACUCCAGUUGCUUCUGGAGCCCAGCCCUCAUCUGGGAUGAGCAGAUCCUGAAGAUCCUGGAGCACAGAAAUCUUCCCUACUGCAAGGGCCUGCCAGAGAGGAUUUGGAUUAGCUCAGAGCAGUGA